rnacentral:rRNA from 1 species
GUAGGUGGCAAGCGUUAUCCGGAAUUAUUGGGCGUAAAGCGCGCGUAGGCGGUUUUUUAAGUCUGAUGUGAAAGCCCACGGCUCAACUGUGGAGGGUCAUUGGGAACUGGAAAACUUGAGUGCAGAAGAGGAAAGUGGAAUUCCAUGUGUAGCGGUGAAAUGCGCAGAGAUAUGGAGGAACACCAGUGGCGAAGGCGACUUUCUGGUCUGUAACUGACGCUGAUGUGCGAAAGCGUGGGGGGGAUCAAACAGGAUUAGAUACCCUGGUAGUCCACGCCGUAAACGAUGAGUGCUAAGUGUUAGGGGGUUUCCGCCCCCCCCUUAGUGCUGCAGCUAACGCAUUAAGCACUCCGCCUGGGGAGUACGACCGCAAGGUUG